rnacentral:rRNA from 1 species
UACGUAGGGCGCGAGCGUUGUCCGGAUUUAUUGGGCGUAAAGAGCUCGUAGGCGGCUUGUUGCGUCAGCUGUGAAAACCCGCAGCUCAACUGUGGGCUUGCAGCUGAUACGGGCAGGCUUGAGUUCGGCAGGGGAGACUGGAAUUCCUGGUGUAGCGGUGGAAAUGCGCAGAUAUCAGGAGGAACACCGGUGGCGAAGGCGGGUCUCUGGGCCGAUACUGACGCUGAGGAGCGAAAGCGUGGGGAGCGAACAGG